rnacentral:lncRNA from 1 species
AUGCAGUCCCAUAGGGCUCCAUUGCCCUGCGUCCAUUCCAUCUCGUCCAGCAGGGGGCAGCAAAACGUUCCCGGUGUGUGUUUAGGGGGGGGGGGGGGGGGGGUUGGCCGCCAUCCAUCCCCCCAUCAAUCAAUCAACCCCCAUCAAUCAAUCAACCCCCAUCAAUCGAUCAACCCCCGUCAAUCAAUCAACUCCUCCCCCCAUUCCAUUGGUGGGAGGGUCCUUCUCUCAGCCCCCUCAAUUCCAUUGGUCGGAGGUCAAUCAAUCAAUCAAACUCCCCAAUCCCAUUGGUGGGAGGUCAAUCAAUCAAUCAACCCCCUAUUCCAUUGGUGGGAGGUCAAUCAAUCAAUCAACCCCCCCCCGUCAAUCAAUCAAGCCCCCCCAUUCCAUUGGUGGGAGGGCUCUUCUCCCACAGCCCCAAUCCCAUUGGUGGGAGGUCAAUCAAUCAACCCCUUGUGGGAGGGUCCUUCUCACCCCCCCCCAACCCCAUUGGUGGUCAAUCCAUCAAUCACACCCCAUCCCCCGAUCCCAUUGCGCUGGGGGGGGGCAUGCUCUCACAGCUUGAGCUCAUUGCCACCUUGAGGCGAUGGUUCUUGAAGUGCCAUGGAUGGUGCCGCGAUCGUUUGGAACCGGACCUCCGUUCAACGGAGAGCCGGGGCAGUUUGCAAACCUCCAUCUCCCAUUGACGAAGGAGUCGUUGGCGCGGGCUCCAUAGUGCACACAGCAGACGAAGCGCUCCUGCAGCUCACAGCGGCAGCUGUUGGCGGUCCAGCACUUUGCCGGAUCUCCGCUCACAUCUCCCCAGGUUCCAGCUGACGUUGUUUUCAUGCUCCGACGUGAAGCGUAAGGAGCAGGAGCUUGGCGUCCCGGGCGGUCGUCCUGUCCAGCCCACGGCCGGGCUGGAGGGAAAUGGGGGGUGAGAUGGGGGGAUAUUGGGGAUAUGGGGUAUGGGGGGGAUAUGGGGGCAAGUGGUGAUGGGGCGUAUGGUGGGAUUGGGGAUAACGGGGAGGGGGUAACAAGGUUAUGGGGGGUGAUGGGGUGAUGGGGGGGUGAUGGGGA